rnacentral:rRNA from 1 species
ACUCCUACGGGAGGCAGCAGUGGGGAAUUUUGCGCAAUGGGGGAAACCCUGACGCAGCAACGCCGCGUGAGUGAUGAAGGCCUUCGGGUCGUAAAGCUCUGUCAGAGGGGAAGAAGUGUAUGGGUGCUAAUACCAUCUGUACUUGACGGUACCUUCAAAGGAAGCACCGGCUAACUCCGUGCCAGCAGCCGCGGUAAUACGGAGGGUGCAAGCGUUGUUCGGAUUUAUUGGGCGUAAAGCGCGUGUAGGCGGUUUUUUAAGUCUGAUGUGAAAGCCCCGGGCUCAACCCGGGAAGUGCAUUGGAAACUGGGAGACUUGAAUACGGGAGAGGGUAGUGGAAUUCCUAGUGUAGGAGUGAAAUCCGUAGAUAUUAGGAGGAACACCGGUGGCGAAGGCGGCUACCUGGACCGAUAUUGACGCUGAGACGCGAAAGCGUGGGGAGCAAACAGGAUUAGAUACCCUGGUAGUCCACGCCGUAAACGAUGAGAACUAGGUGUUGCGGGUA